rnacentral:tRNA from 1 species
AGGGAUGUAGCUCAGUGGUAGAGUGUUUGUCUGGUAUAAGCAAGACCCUGGGAUCAAACCCUAGCAUCACAG